UGGGGAAUAUUGGACAAUGGAGGGAACUCUGAUCCAGCAAUUCUUUGUGUGUGAAGAAGGUUUUAGGACUGUAAAACACUUUUAGUAGGGAAGAAAAAAAUGACGGUACCUACAGAAGAAGCAACGGCUAAAUACGUGCCAGCAGCCGCGGUAAUACGUAUGUUGCGAGCGUUAUCCGGAAUUAUUGGGCUUAAAGGGCAUCUAGGCGGUAAGACAAGUUGAAGGUGAAAACAUGUGGCUCAACCAUAGGCUUGCCUACAAAAAUGUUGAACUAGAGUAAUGGAAAGGUGGGUGGAAAUACAAGAGUAGAGGUGAAAUUCGUAGAUAUGUGUAGGAAUGCCGAUGAUGAAGAUAACUCACUGGACAGAAACAGACGCUGAAGUGCGAAAGAUAGGGGAGCAAACAGG
rnacentral:rRNA from 1 species